AGGAGUAUGGUGUUAACGGCUAGCACAUUGGUCUCCAAAACCAAGGGUCCGGGUUCGAAUCCUGGUACUCCUGC
rnacentral:tRNA from 1 species